UUCUGAGCCCCUCCGCCCCCAGCGUCUGCUCUGGGCCUGGGAGACCCCAUCACCCCCGCCCCCACCCCACAUAGCCCCAUUGUGAGUCCGUGUAGCUGGCCUUGUCUGUUGACUUCUCUCCAUCCCGGGGCGGGGGGGGGGGGGGGGGGGGGCCGGUUCAGGUGCCUGGGGUGGAGGGUGGAGGGGUGAGGCGGUGCGGGGCUCGGAGACCAGCCUCAGAGCUCCCCAGGCUCCUUAGACCCACUCAAGAACUUGCCAGUAAAAUGAGGGACAAUGUGCAUAUUGGAAAAUUCAAGUCCAGGCAGGUGGGCUAUAUGCAUGUUCCAGGCUGCUGUUUGCCGUGGCCCUGGAGGACCUCACUGGAGAACAAAUAUUGAUGCUUUGUUAGCGCACACAGACAUUCUCGGCAAUGCUGAUUAGCGCUUGGGGCUGAUCCGACCAAGGUCAGGGGCUUGUGCCCCCUCAAACUGCACCCAUUAGCUUCUCUUAGAGAAGCCCGGAGACGACACGCCUGGCGGUGGGAGGGGGCUUUCCAGUCCACCAGCAUGGACCCGAAUGCUCAGGCCUCCCUGCCUCUAAGGCUUUCACCUUCCAUGGCUUCAGAGGAUCGCAUGAGGUCAACACCAGCUAAGACGUGUGAAGCCCUUGACACAGAGCUCAGCAGAGACAGGAUGCUCAGUCCAUGGGAGCCAUGAUGAUGAUAAUGAUUAUUAACAUGUUCCCAAGGUGGCCUUCGUCUGCUAAGCGUCUUUUCAACUCUCUUUUUUCCUCCUCUCAACGUGGACCAGCUACACUUGAAGUGCUCAAGAGCCACACUCAGCUGGUCGCUACCUUACAGAUGGCGCAGGUCCAGAAGAUGGGCCUCAGAACUGAGUCUGACCUGUUAAACGACCCUGCACACGGCUAUUGGGGGGAUUUCUUAAGUCUCUGGGUAAAGCUACGGAAAACAAAUGGUGGCUCCAGGAGCUGGUCCUUAAAGCAAUCGCAAUUAUGCUUCAUUUGCUGGAACAGAGAACAGUAAAAUGCCCAGCUGGUAGGCAAUCCCCCCGUGAUUAAAGCAUGGGCCGAUCAGAAAGCUGACGUCCAAUAGAUUAAUCAAGAAAUAAGGAAGGAAUGCCUGUGUUUGAUGCUUGUGAAUCUGCACAUGUGGAUCUCCAGAUGUUUCAACUUAAUUUUUACCGCCAUAAAAACUAAGAAAGAGAAAACGGGAGUGAUGCCAACAGCCAGGCAAACGCCCCCAGCAAAGCGACCAUUCGGCAGCCUCUGGAAUCUUCUUCUCAUGUCUGGUGGAAGGCAGGCUCCUCCCCAGAGCCGUAAGCAGGGCCUUCCUGGGGCCUCUCGAAGUGUGUGCAACGUGGAGAAAAAUUAUCGGCUCCGAAAUUUGACAAGAAAGCAGCAAAAUCAAAAUUAAUAAAUGCUUCAUUAAACGCCUGCCA
rnacentral:lncRNA from 1 species